UGGGGAAUAUUGCACAAUGGGCGCAAGCCUGAUGCAGCCAUGCCGCGUGUGUGAAGAAGGCCUUCGGGUUGUAAAGCACUUUCAGCGAGGAGGAAGGUGGUGAGCUUAAUACGCUCAUCAAUUGACGUUACUCGCAGAAGAAGCACCGGCUAACUCCGUGCCAGCAGCCGCGGUAAUACGGAGGGUGCAAGCGUUAAUCGGAAUUACUGGGCGUAAAGCGCACGCAGGCGGUUUGUUAAGUCAGAUGUGAAAUCCCCGGGCUCAACCUGGGAACUGCAUUUGAAACUGGCAAGCUAGAGUCUCGUAGAGGGGGGUAGAAUUCCAGGUGUAGCGGUGAAAUGCGUAGAGAUCUGGAGGAAUACCGGUGGCGAAGGCGGCCCCCUGGACGAAGACUGACGCUCAGGUGCGAAAAGCGUGGGGAGCAAAACAGGAUUAGAUACCCUGGUAGUCCACGCUGUAAACGAUGUCGAUUUUGGAGGUUGUGCCCUUGAGGCGUGGCUUCCGGAGCUAACGCGUUAAAUCGACCGCCUGGGGAGUACGGCCGCAAGGUU
rnacentral:rRNA from 1 species